rnacentral:rRNA from 1 species
UAGUAACUGCGAGUGAAGCGGGAAAAGCUCAAAUUUUGAAUCUGGCGGUCCUUGUGGCCGUCCGAGUUGUAAUCUAGAGAAGUGUUUUCCGCGCUGGACCGUGUACAAGUCUCCUGGAAGGGAGCGUCAUAGAGGGUGAGAAUCCCGUCUUUGACACGGACUGCCAGUGCUAUGUGAUGCGCUCUCGACGAGUCGAGUUGUUUGUGAAUGCAGCUCAAAAUGGGUGGUAAAUUCCAUCUAAAGCUAAAUAUUGGCGAGAGACCGAUAGCGAACAAGUACCGUGAGGGAAAGACGAAAAGAACUUUGGAAAGAGAGUUAAACAGUACGUGAAAUUGCUGAAAGGGAAACGCUUGAUGUCAGUCGCGUCCGCCAGGGAUCAACCUAGCUUGAUUGCUUGGUGCAUUUCUUGGUCGGACGGGU